rnacentral:ncRNA from 2 species
CAUGCGACAGGCAAUGAAGUCUGCCUGAAACCGCCCGGCUCUGCCCGCGAGCCGCCUGCAGGGCUGAUGACUUCUACCUCGUU